GACCCAGUGGUGUAGUGGUUAUCACAUUUGUAGCAUUUAUUGGAUGAAGGAGUAUCUUCUACAGGAAAUCCCUGUUCAACUCAGGGCUGGGUCA